UACGUAGGGUCCGAGCGUUGUCCGGAAUUAUUGGGCGUAAAGAGCUCGUAGGCGGUGUGUCGCGUCUGCUGUGAAAACUCGAGGCUCAACCUCGGGCUUGCAGUGGGUACGGGGCAGACUAGAGUGCGGUAGGGGUGACUGGAAUUCCUGGUGUAGCGGUGGAAUGCGCAGAUAUCAGGAGGAACACCGGUGGCGAAGGCGGAUCUCUGGGCCAUUACUGACGCUGGAGGAGCGAAAGCGUGGGGAGCGAACAGG
rnacentral:rRNA from 1 species